rnacentral:rRNA from 1 species
GACGAACGCUGGCGGUGUGCUUAACACAUGCAAGUCGAACGGUAAGGCCCUUUCGGGGGUACACGAGUGGCGAACGGGUGAGUAACACGUGAGUAACCUGCCCUCAUCUCUGGGAUAACAGUCGGAAACGGUUGCUAAUACUGGAUAUGGGCUUGCAAGGCAUCUUGUGGGUUGGAAAGAUUUUUUUGGUUGGGGAUGGACUCGCGGCCUAUCAGCUUGUUGGUGAGGUAGUGGCUCACCAAGGCUUCGACGGGUAGCCGGCCUGAGAGGGCGACCGGCCACAUUGGGACUGAGAUACGGCCCAAACUCCUACGGGAGGCAGCAGUGGGGAAUAUUGCACAAUGGACAGAAGUCUGAUGCAGCAACGCCGCGUGCGGGAUGACGGCCUUCGGGUUGUAAACCGCUUUCAAUUGUGACGAAGCUUUUUGUGACGGUAGCAGUAGAAGAAGCACCGGCUAACUACGUG